rnacentral:rRNA from 1 species
UACGUAGGGUGCAAGCGUUAAUCGGAAUUACUGGGCGUAAAGCGCGCGUAGGCGGCUUUGCAAGUCGGGUGUGAAAUCCCCAGGCUUAACCUGGGAACUGCAUUCGAGACUGCAUUGCUAGAGUAUGGGAGAGGGAAGUGGAAUUUCCGGUGUAGCGGUGAAAUGCGUAGAUAUCGGAAGGAACACAGUGGCGAAAGCGGACUCCUGGACCGGAAUUGGACGCUGAGGCGCGAAAGCUAGGGGAGCAAACGGG